UCAAAAAGUUCGAGCCCGUUAAUGGGUGAGAGCGUGCCUUUUGCAGAAUGAGCCGGCGAGUUACGUUAUCAUGCGAGGUUAAGAAGAAGAUUCGGAGCCGUAGCGAAAGCGAGUCUUAAUAGGGCGUUUAGUAUGAUGAUGUAGACCCGAAACCGAGUGAUCUAUCCAUGAGCAGGUUGAAGUUGGGGUGAUACCUAAUGGAGGACCGAACCCACGUGUGUUGCAAAACGCGGGGAUGACUUGUGAUAGCGGAGAAAUUCCAAUCGAACUCGGAUAAAGCUGGUUCUCCCCGAAAUAGGUUUAGGCCUAGCCUUCUAAUUAGCUACCUGGAGGUAGAGCACUGAAUACGGAAUGGCCGCGUCUAGCGGUACUGACUGUAAUCAAACUCCGAAUGCCAGGCUAGUAUGUAGAGGAGUCAGUGUAUGGGUGAUAACGUCCAUACGCGAGAGGAAAUGAAUCCUGACCAUCGGUUAAGGUCCCAAAGUUUAUGCUAAGUGGAAAAUGAUGUGGAGUCGCAUGAACAGCUAGGAGGUUGGCUUAGAAGCAGCCAUCCUUUAAAGAGUGCGUAAUAGCUCACUAGUCGAGUGGCUCUGCGCAGAACAUGUACCGGGGCUUAAGCAUAACACCGAAACUGUGGAUGUUAGUUUUUAAUUAACAUGGUAGGGGAGCGUUCUAAGGGCGUUGAAGAUAGAUCGUGAGGACUAUUGGAGCGCUUAGAAGUGAGAAUGCCGGCGUGAGUAACGUAAGGAAGGUGAGAAUCCUUCCCACUGAUUGACUAAGGGUUCCUGGGUCAAGUUCGUCUUCCCAGGGUAAGUCAGGACCUAAGGCGAGGCCGAAAGGCGUAGUCGAUGGACAACAGGUUUAUAUUCCUGUACCACCUACAAGACUGAUGGAGUGACAAAGAAGGCUAAGCAAAGCCAAUUAUUGGAUUUUGGUCUAAGCACAAAGGUGUGUUGAGUAAGCAAAUCUAUCAACUGUAACGCUGAAGUGUGAUGGGGAAAAAGUUCUACGGAACUUCAACUUUGCUGAAGCCAUGCUUUCAAGAAAAACUUCUAGGGCUAAUCUUGUAGGUGCCUGUACUCAGAACCGACACUGGUAGUCAAGGAGAGAAUCCUAAGGUGAGCGAGAUAACUAUGGUUAAGGAACUCGGCAAAAUGACCCCGUAACUUCGGAAUAAGGGGAGGUGUAGCGAUACACCCUCAGGAAAUAGGUCCAGGCAACUGUUUACCAAAAACACAGGUCUCUGCUAAAGCGUAAGCUGAUGUAUAGGGGCUGACGCCUGCCCAGUGCUGGAAGGUUAAGAGGAGAUGUUAGUUGGACGCAAGUCGAUAACAACGAAGCUUCGAAUUGAAGCCCCAGUGAACGGCGGCCGUAACUAUAACGGUCCUAAGGUAGCGAAAUUCCUUGUCAGGUAAGUUCUGACCCGCACGAAAGGCGUAAUGAUCUGGAUACUGUCUCAACCAUAGACUCGGUGAAAUCUUAAUACCUGUGAAAAUGCAGGUUACCCGCUACAGGACAAAAAGACCCC
rnacentral:rRNA from 1 species